rnacentral:rRNA from 1 species
UACGUAGGGGGCUAGCGUUGUCCGGAAUCAUUGGGCGUAAAGCGCGUGUAGGCGGCCAUGCAGGUCCGUUGUGUAAACUGGAGGCUUAACCUCCAGACGUCGACGGAAACCGCGUGGCUAGAGUCCGGAAGAGGAGAGUGGAAUUCCUGGUGUAGCGGUGAAAUGCGCAGAUAUCAGGAAGAACACCAAUGGCGAAGGCAGCUCUCUGGGACGGUACUGACGCUGAGGAGCGAAAGCGUGGGGAGCGAACAGG